rnacentral:snoRNA from 1 species
AACUUUGUCCAAAAGUAAUCCACCGCAAUAGACAGUACGACUUGGCAGCGUCCGAUGGAAAUUCGCGUGGGUCGAUGCGUUCUGUGUUGAUUCCAUCGCGUAGUCCGUCAAUGGAUAUUUAUUACCCACUGUUAAUUUUCCAAGUCGUGAUAAGCGGUUUUUAAGGAGAGAUUAAACCUUGGAGGUCAUUAAGAACUCGAAUGGAUUCAUUACACAUGAUAUUCGAGUGUCAGAGAUCUGCAACAUCU